ensembl:snRNA U6 U6 spliceosomal RNA
UUGCUCAUUCUGGCAGCACAUAUACUAAUAUUGGAAUGAUACAGAGAUUAGCAUGGCCCCUGCACAAAGGAUCACAUGCAAAUUUGUGAAGCAUUACAUAUUCUA